CGAACGCUGGCGGCAUGCCUACCACAUGCACGUCGACCGAGACCUUCGGGUCUAGUGGCGCACGGGUGCGUAACGCGUGGGAAUCUACCCUCAGGUUCGGAAUAACUCAGAGAAAUUUGAGCUAAUACCGGAUGAUGACGUAAGUCCAAAGAUUUAUCGCCUGAGGAUGAGCCCGCGUAGGAUUAGGUAGUUGGUGAGGUAAAGGCUCACCAAGCCGACGAUCCUUAGCUGGUCUGAGAGGAUGAUCAGCCACACUGGGACUGAGACACGGCCCAGACUCCUACGGGAGGCAGCAGUGGGGAAUAUUGGACAAUGGGCGAAAGCCUGAUCCAGCAAUGCCGCGUGAGUGAUGAAGGCCUUAGGGUUGUAAAGCUCUUUUACCCGGGAUGAUAAUGACAGUACCGGGAGAAUAAGCUCCGGCUAACUCCGUG
rnacentral:rRNA from 1 species